GACGACGCUGGCGGCGUGGAUUAGGCAUGCAAGUCGAACGGUAGGAUACCUUCGGGUAUCUGAGAGUGGCGAACGGGUGAGUAACACGUAGGUGAUCUACCCUCAAGAUUGGGACAACCCAGGGAAACUUGGGCUAAUACCGGAUGAAAGCAGCAGUGAUGUUGUUUGAAAGGUGGCGUAAGCUGCCGUUUGGGGGAUGAGCCUGCGCUCUAUUAGUUAGUUGGCGGGGUAAGGGCCCACCAAGGCGAUGAUAGAUAGGCGGCCUUAACGGGUGGUCGCCCACACUGGGAUUGAGAUACGGCCCAGACUCCUACGGGAGGCAGCAGUCGAGAAUAGUCUACAAUGGCCGAAAGGCUGAUAGUGCGACGCCGCGUGAACGAAGAAGCCCUUCGGGGUGUAAAGUUCUUUUAUAUGUGAGCAGUGCUUUCUAUGUGAACAGCAUGGGGAGAGAGAUAUUAGCAUAUGAAUAAGCAACGGCUAACUCCGUG
rnacentral:rRNA from 1 species